rnacentral:rRNA from 1 species
AGAGUUUGAUCCUGGCUCAGGAUGAACGCUGGCGGCGUGCUUAACACAUGCAAGUCGAACGAAGCACUUAAUAAGAUUUCUUCGGAUUGAUUAUUUUGUGACUGAGUGGCGGACGGGUGAGUAACGCGUGGGUAACCUGCCCCAGACCGGGGGAUAACAGUCGGAAACGACUGCUAAUACCGCAUAAGCGCACAGUGCCGCAUGGCACGGUGUGAAAAACUCCGGUGGUCUGGGAUGGACCCGCGUCCGAUUAGUUAGUUGGCGGGGUAACGGCCCACCAAGACCGCGAUCGGUAGCCGACCUGAGAGGGUGACCGGGCACAUUGGGACUGAGACACGGCCCAGACUCCUACGGGAGGCAGCAGUGGGGAAUAUUGCACAAUGGAGGAAACUCUGAUGCAGCGACGCCGCGUGAGCGAAGAAGUAUUUCGGUAUGUAAAGCUCUGUCAGCAGGGAAGAUAAUGACGGUACCUGACCAAGAAGCCCCGGCUAACUACGUGCCAGCAGCCGCGGUAAUACGUAGGGGGCAAGCGUUAUCCGGAUUUACUGGGUGUAAAGGGAGUGUAGGUGGCUGUGCAAGUCAGGAGUGAAAGCCCGGGGCUCAACCCCGGGACUGCUCUUGAAACUGUAUGUCUUGAGUGCCGGAGAGGUAAUCGGAAUUCCUUGUGUAGCGGUGAAAUGCGUAGAUAUAAGGAAGAACACCAGUGGCGAAGGCGGAUUACUGGACGGUAACUGACGGUGAGGCGUGAAAGCGUGGGGAGCGAACAGGAUUAGAUACCCUGGUAGUCCACGCUGUAAACGAUGGAUACUAGGUGUGCGGGGACUGACCCCCUGCGUGCCGCAGUUAACACAAUAAGUAUCCCACCUGGGGAGUACGAUCGCAAGGUUGAAACUCAAAGGAAUUGACGGGGGCCCGCACAAGCGGUGGAUUAUGUGGUUUAAUUCGAAGCAACGCGAAGAACCUUACCAGGUCUUGACAUCCUGCUAACGAAGUAGAGAUACAUUAGGUGCCCUUCGGGGAAAGCAGAGACAGGUGGUGCAUGGUUGUCGUCAGCUCGUGUCGUGAGAUGUUGGGUUAAGUCCCGCAACGAGCGCAACCCCUAUUGUUAGUUGCUACGCAAGAGCACUCUAGCGAGACUGCCGUUGACAAAACGGAGGAAGGUGGGGACGACGUCAAAUCAUCAUGCCCCUUAUGACCUGGGCUACACACGUAAUACAAUGGCGGUCAACAAAGGGAUGCAAAGCCGCGAGGCAGAGCGAACCCCAAAAAGCCGUCCCAGUUCGGAUCGCAGGCUGCAACCCGCCUGCGUGAAGUCGGAAUCGCUAGUAAUCGUGGGUCAGCAUACCACGGUGAAUACGUUCCCGGGCCUUGCACUCACCGCCCGUCA